ACUGCUCAGUAACACGUGGAUAACCUGCCCAAGGGUCUGGGAUAACCCCGGGAAACUGGGGAUAAUACCGGAUGGAUCACUAGUGCUGGAAUGCUUGGUGGUCGAAAGGUAACGCCUUUGGAUGGGUCUGCGGCGGAUUAGGUUGACGCCGGUGUAACGUACCGGCGUGCCUGUAAUCCGUACGGGUUGUGGGAGCAAGAGCCCGGAGAUGGAUUCUGAGACACGAAUCCAGGCCCUACGGGGCGCAGCAGGCGCGAAAACUCUACAAUGCAGGCAACUGCGAUAGGGGGACAUCGAGUGGCAUCCACCUUGGGUGCCUGUCCAACCGUCUAAAAAACGGUUGUUAGCAAGGGCCGGGUAAGACCGGUGCCAGCCGCCGCGGUGAUACCGGCGGCUCGAGUGGUGGCCGAUAUUAUUGAGUCUAAAGGGUCCGUAGCCGGCUUUGCAAGUCCCCUGGGAAAUCCAGCGGCUUAACCGUUGGGCUUUCAUGGGAUACUACAUUGCUUGGGACUGGGAGAGGUAGGAGGUACUCGGGGGGUAGGGGUGAAAUCCUGUAAUCCUCCGGGGACCACCGGUGGCGAAGGCGUCCUACCAGAACAGGUCCGACGGUGAGGGACGAAAGCUAGGGGCACGAACCGGAUUAGAUACCCGGGUAGUCCUAGCCGUAAACGAUGCCCGCUAGGUGUCACGACGGUCGUGAAUCGUCGUGGUGCCGUAGGGAAGCCGCGAAGCGGGCCAUUUGGGAAGUACGGCCGCAAGGCUGAAACUUAAAGGAAUUGGCGGGGGAGCAC
rnacentral:rRNA from 1 species